GCUUUCUGCUAUUGCAAGGUAUAUCAUUUAUGGUUGACACAUAUUUCCAUUUUCAAGGUGCUUAGUGCUUCGUUGCAAUGGAUGUUUGUCUUUAUGCUUAUAAUUUUGAGUAGCGUACUUCACUUUCAUUGCUGGAGGCAUUCUGCUUGUAUGCAGCUUUAGAAUUUACUAUUUCAUAACAUAUAUUAAGGGCCUGUUCACUUGUGAAACUGGCGUAGUUUUCUGGAAAACUUUUCUAAGAAAGCUGGACAACAGAAUUUCGUGUUUACAUGUGCCAUUUUUCUAAAUUUUAACUAAGAUUUGGAAAACAGCUUUAAGUUGUUUUUCACUGUUUUCCUUUAUAACAAAGAUUCUUUUUUCCAAACGGAAAACCAUGACUUUUUUAUAGCCAAAAUU
rnacentral:misc_RNA from 1 species